GCAGUGGUGGCUCAAUGGUAGAAUCUUUGCCUUCCAUGCCAGAGACCCAGGUUUGAUUCCUGGCCAGUGCC
rnacentral:tRNA from 1 species